CUGAAUUGGGCUUUUGAUCUGUGGGGGUGUAGUGACCAGACAAUCCGUUGUGGGCCUUGGGCUCAAACGACCACAGUUGAAUGGAGAGAGUCCGUGUACAACCUUCACGUAAGCUAAAAUUGAACAGGGGAAAAGCACUUAUUCAGAGAAGCUCUUGUGACGCGUUUGGAUUCAUGGAUUCCGGCGCCUUCAACCACCACGUUCACGAGGAUUUAGCACAAGCCGGGAGAAACGAUCAACUCCAACACAACAACGCGUUAUCCUUCUCACGGACUUGACUUCAUCGAUUAUUGCGCUUCAAGGAUUCAAGAAUUCGCGAUGUUCCGCACCUCUACCAUGGUUCGCGUGGUUCGAUCUUUAUUGAUAGUUCAUAUACUCGAAGAUUCGCGAUUCAUCUCGCUCCAUUAUCGUACGUGCAGAUGGAAGAAAAACCACAUCGAAAUCGGAUCGGAAAAACUUACCGUAUUAAAGCUCCAAUUGCAAUUAGGUACCGAAAUCCUCACUUUCUCUAUCUCGACUCCUUCUUCUUCUCCAAUCAUCUACUGUGUUAUGGAGGUAUGUGGAAAAUCGUUACAAGAGGAUGAGUACGAGCAUUAAGAUCGAAGGAUCAAGAGUGGUGGAAGAGAGGUUGAAAAGCGAUUUGGUUAAGUUUUUAUGUUAUCUCCUUUUCUGUUAUGGAGAGCUUUCUUAACGGAGGUUAUGAUUUCCGGUUAGGAUCUUGCAGCGAAACUGAACUUUUUCUGUUGGAAGCAAAGUUUGAAGAAGUUAUGUUAUAAAGUUGUGGAGGAGAAUGGAGAGUGAAGAUUGGGAGAAUAUAUAGGGGAUUGCGAAUGGUUCUGCAGGUUGUAGAGUUGGUUAGAGAUUGGAGAUUGAAGUUGGUUAGAAGUUUGUUGGAAAAGUUUUUUACGGAUUUGCUGUUAGCUUUUUAUGCAGGAUUUUUAUUUGGAUUUUAUGCAGAAUUUUCAUUUGGAUUUUAUGCAGAAUUUUUAUGAUGCAGAAUUUUUAUUUGGUUUUAUGCAGAAUUUUUAUGAUGCAGAUUUUUUAUGCAACUGCAGUUUUGCUUCAUUCUUCCAUUGCCGCUUUAUUUCAAGUGUCUUGGAGUUCCUUUGUUUGCAACUUACCGUUUAUGCUGGUCGCGGCCGCAGCAGCUUUGGGCUUAUUUUUAAGCGCUUUGGUAGCUGCAGUUGUAGCAGCUGGUGUGCAGUUGUCACGAGGCUCGUUCGCGUGUCCGUGCAGCUGGGAGUUUCACGCAGCUGAUAGGAUCUUCGGCUGCACUUGGCAAUGUUCUCAUGCUACACCUGCAUUUUUUUGCACUUGAUGCAAUUCACCUUUGUACUUGGUAUAAUACAAAUUAAUUGGAAGUGGAUAUGAAAGGAUUAACGGUUAUGUUAGUUUAUUAUUGGAUAUAGAAAUGAUAUGGUUUGGAUUUAGAAAAUGGAUAUUUGGACACAUGUGGAUUUGUUAAUUUUAAUAAAAAUGGAUCAAAUGGAUAUUAGGAAUUGGA